rnacentral:rRNA from 1 species
AGUGAACGCUGGCGGUAGGCCUAACACAUGCAAGUCGAACGGCAGCACAGUAAGAGCUUGCUCUUACGGGUGGCGAGUGGCGGACGGGUGAGGAAUACAUCGGAAUCUACUUUUUCGUGGGGGAUAACGUAGGGAAACUUACGCUAAUACAGCAUACGCCCUACGGGUGAAAGCAGGGGAUCUUCGGACCUUGCGCGAUUGAAUGAGCCGAUGUCGUAUUAGUUAGUUGGCGGGGUAAAGGCCCACCAAGGCGACGAUCCGUAGCUGGUCUGAGAGGAUGAUCAGCCACACUGGAACUGAGACACGGUCCAGACUCCUACGGGAGGCAGCAGUGGGGAAUAUUGGACAAUGGGCGCAAGCCUGAUCCAGCCAUACCGCGUGUGUGAAGAAGGCCUUCGGGUUGUAAAGCCCUUUUGUUGGGAAAGAAAAGCAGCAGGUUAAUACCCCGCUGUUCUGACGGUACCCAAAGAAUAAGCACCGGCUAACUUCGUG